UCCGGAGCUUGCUCCGGUGAAAGUGGCGCACGGGUGAGUAACGCGUGGAUAAUCUGCCCUGGUAUCUGGGAUAACAUCUCGAAAGGGGUGCUAAUACCGGAUAAGCCUACGGUCUCUUCGGAGUCUGCAGGAAAAGGUGGCCUCUAUUUAUAAGCUACCGUAUCAGGAUGAGUCCGCGUACCAUUAGCUAGUUGGUGGGGUAAUGGCCCACCAAGGCUACGAUGGUUAGCUGGUCUGAGAGGAUGAUCAGCCACACUGGAACUGAGACACGGUCCAGACUCCUACGGGAGGCAGCAGUGGGGAAUUUUGCGCAAUGGGGGAAACCCUGACGCAGCAACGCCGCGUGAGUGAUGAAGGCUUUCGGGUCGUAAAGCUCUGUCAGAGGGGAAGAAAUGAGUCUGGYUAAUAUCCAGAUUUCUUGACGGUACCCUCAAAGGAAGCACCGGCUAACUCCGUGCCAGCAGCCGCGGUAAUAC
rnacentral:rRNA from 1 species